rnacentral:rRNA from 1 species
GAUGAACGCUAGCUACAGGCUUAACACAUGCAAGUCGAGGGACCGGCGCACGUGUGAGUAAUACGUAUCCAACCUGCCUUUUACUUUGGGAUAGCCUUUCGAAAGAAAGAUUAAUACCUGAUCUAAAGGAUGGGGAUGCGUUCCAUUAGGUUGUUGGUGAGGUAACGGCUCAGCAAGCCUUCGAUGGUUAGGGGUUCGGAGAGGAAGGUCCCCCACAGUUGAACUGAGACACGGGCCAAAAUCUUACGGGAGGCAGGAGUGGAGAACAUUGGGCAAUGGGCGCUGGCCUGAACCAGCCAAGUAGCGGGAAGGAUGAAGGCUUAUGGGUGGUAAACUUCUUUUGUAUAAGAAUAUGUAUUAUAUGAAUAAGGAUCGGCUAACUCCGUGCCAGCAGCAGCGGUAAUAC